UUGGUGGGGUANNGGGCUACCAGGCGACGAUCGGUAGCUGGUCUGAGAGGAUGACCAGCCACACUGGAACUGAGACACGGUCCAGACUCCUACGGGAGGCAGCAGUGGGGAAUAUUGGACAAUGGGGGCAACCCUGAUCCAGCAAUGCCGCGUGUGUGAAGAAGGCCUGAGGGUUGUAAAGCACUUUCAGUGGGGAGGAGGGUUGAUAGGUUAAGAGCUGAUUAACUGGACGUUACCCACAGAAGAAGCACCGGCUAACUCCGUGCCAGCAGCCGCGGUAAUACGGAGGGUGCAAGCGUUAAUCGGAAUUACUGGGCGUAAAGGGUGCGUAGGUGGUUGAUUAAGUUAUCUGUGAAAUUCCUGGGCUUAACCUGGGACGGUCAGAUAAUACUGGUUGACUCGAGUAUGGGAGAGGGUAGUGGAAUUUCCGGUGUAGCGGUGAAAUGCGUAGAGAUCGGAAGGAACACCAGUGGCGAAGGCGGCUACCUGGCCUAAUACUGACACUGAGGCGCGAAAGCGUGGGGAGCAAACAGGAUUAGAUACCCUGGUAGUCCACGCUGUAAACGAUGUCAACUAGCUGUUGGUUAUAUGAAAAUAAUUAAUGGCGCAGCACACGCGAUAAGUUGAUCGCCUGGGGAGUACGGACUCAAGAUUAAAACUCCCAGGAAUUGACGGGGGCCCGCACAAGCGGUGGAGGAUGUGGUUUUAUUCGAUGACACGCGAAUAACCUUACCUACCCUUGUACAACACCGAAUUUUGUAGAGAUGCAUUAAUGACUGUCGGGAACACUGAUACAAGUGCUGCAUGACUGUC
rnacentral:rRNA from 1 species